rnacentral:rRNA from 1 species
CCUACGGGUGGCAGCAGUGGGGAAUAUUGCACAAUGGGGGAAAGCCUGAUGCAGCGACGCCGCGUGAGUGAAGAAGUACUUCGGUACGUAAAGCUCUAUUAGCAGGGAAGAAAAUGAGGGAAACUGACUGAGCAGCUCUGGCCAACUACGGGCCAGCAGCCGACGUAAAACUAGGGGGGCAAGCGAUAUCCGGAUUUACGGGGUGUAAAGGUAGCGUAGGCGGUAGCGCAAUUCUGAAGUGAAAUCCCAUGGCUUAAUCAGAGGACUGCAUUGGAAACUGGGCAACUGGAGUGCAGAAGAGGUGAGCGGAAUUCCUAGUGUAGCGGUGAAAUGCGUAGAUAUUAGGAAGAACACCAGUGGCGAAGGCGGCUUACUGGUCUGUAACUGACGUUGAGGCUCGAAAGCGUGGGUAGCAAACAGGAUUAGAUACCCCUGUAGUC